rnacentral:rRNA from 1 species
GACGAACGCUGGCGGCGUGCUUAACACAUGCAAGUCGAACGGAAAGGCCCUGCUUUUGUGGGGUGCUCGAGUGGCGAACGGGUGAGUAACACGUGAGUAACCUGCCCUUGACUUUGGGAUAACUUCAGGAAACUGGGGCUAAUACCGGAUAGGAGCUCCUGCUGCAUGGUGGGGGUUGGAAAGUUUCGGCGGUUGGGGAUGGACUCGCGGCUUAUCAGCUUGUUGGUGGGGUAGUGGCUUACCAAGGCUUUGACGGGUAGCCGGCCUGAGAGGGUGACCGGCCACAUUGGGACUGAGGUACGGCCCAGACUCCUACGGGAGGCAGCAGUGGGGAAUAUUGCACAAUGGGCGGAAGCCUGAUGCAGCAACGCCGCGUGCGGGAUGACGGCCUUCGGGUUGUAAACCGCUUUCGCCUGUGACGAAGCGUAAGUGACGGUAAUGGGUAAAGAAGCACCGGCUAACUACGU